rnacentral:misc_RNA from 1 species
AUGCGAGCGUUCCCAUUAUACAACUCCUCGCUGAGGCGACGCAGCUGUGGCGGUCUUGCGGCUGCUGCUCAUGUCAUCAGCACUUCAUCGCAUCCUGUGAGCGCAUCUCAGCGGCACUCCACUUCCCUGCCCUCCUCUUUUCCUUACGCCGAGAGCGAGGCCAUUCACGACGGGAAUCGUAAAGGCUCUGCCCCAGGAGGCGAAGACGCCACCGCUUCGGUUUCCGCAAGCCCAGCUGAAAGGGCGGAAACCCCCAACGCCGACGUCGACGCAGCGGCGAAGAGGCUGGAGGCGCGAGACGCCGUUAUCCGAGAAAUACUCUCGCGUGAUAAAGUUCUCUUUGAGCUGAAACGUCAGCACGAGCUGAGCAUGCUGCGUGUGGAGCAGAACCAGGCACGCGUGCUGAAGGACCAGGAGGACCGUGGCAUGUACUAUGAGCAGAACAGCAACGUCCACACCUUUGACACGAUUUCCGUCGGUCUCUACUCGCAGCGCAGCACACUUUACCAUACCAUGAGCGCGGAGCGGUUGCGCAACCUGAAGGUGUUUCUCAUGGUGUUCUCAACAGUGGUGACGUGUGCCUACCUGUACUACCGCUAUAUGAUCAAUCCGGAUUGGGCGUACGUGGAGCGGCCGAUGAACAUGCUGGGGAGUCGCGUGAUGGCGGUCCGCGAGCAGCGGUGGAAGCAUCUAACGGAGGCGCAGCGGCUUGACGCGUUGUGCAAAGAGAAAGGUGAGUCUGCUUAGUUUAUCGUGACCCGAAAGGGCUCGCGCGCCGCUGGCAGCCGCCUCUUCAUGUGUGCGUGCGGUUGCCGUCGGACGCCUUUUCUCUUUUCGCUGUGCCCUCUUUGACGCACACCCUUGCAAGUGAGGAGAGCCUGAAAACAAAGUCAAUCAAGCAGCGGUUGUGCGCACGUGUUUUGCGGAAGGGGACUGCAAGUGCACAUCUCCUCCAGUACCAACUCUAGACACACUCCUCGAUGGCGUGCCAAGUCGGCGGUUCUGCGACAGGGGAUGGGGGAGGAAAGACAAGCGCGAAACGUGGAGAAGUUGCUGGUGCCAAACGAAAUGGUACGUUAGCGGGCCCCCUCUCCUUCCCUACCGGGGAUCCCCUCACGUGCCUUGCGUCAACGCACACAGAGGACUGUCUUCAUGCUAGACUCGCUUUCUUUUUUUUUUCUUUCGAAGCGAACGGCACACGUGCACGAAUGCGCAUCACUCUCGCUCAUCUUUUCUGUCCCCUCAUCGUUUUUCUUUUGUUCAUGUAG